UUUUUGUGUGGCACCAGCCCGGGUGCUUUUUUGUGUGGUACCAGCCCGGGUGCUUUUUUGUGUGGCACCAGCCCGGGUGCUUUUUGUGCGGCACCAGCCCGGGUGCUUUUUUGUGUGGCACCAGCCCGGGUGCUUUUUUGUGUGGCACCAGCCCGGGUGCAUUUUGUGUGGCACCAGCCCGGGUGCAUUUUGUGUGGAAUCAGCCCGGGUGCUUUUUUGUGUGGCACUAGCCCGGGUGCUUUUUUUGUGUGGCACCAGCCCUGGUGUAUUUUGUGUGGCACCAACCCUGGUGUAUUUUGUGUGGCACCAGCCCGGGUGCAUUUUGUGUGGCACCAGCCCAGGUGCUUUUUGGGUGGUACUUGCAUGGGUGCUUUCUGCGUGACAUCAGAGCGGGUACUUUCUACAUAUAGCCAGUAUGGGUGCUUUCUUUUCAUGUGAUUCCAGCAUUGGUGCUUUUUUUGAUGUGAUGCUAGCAUGGGUACAUUUGUUAAAGAUGUUUCAAUUCUUGCUUUCUUGCUUCAACUACAGAAUAAACUAAACCAGGCCACCAUAUUAAACUUCUUGCUUUUUUUUUUUUUUACUGUUUGGCAAAUGUCUGUGUAUUUUAAGAAUAUUUCCUCUGGACACUUCAUUUUUGUAUUUGAUUCACAAGAUUCUUGAUGUGAAUUCGUGUGUUGAAACAAAUCUUGUCUUGGGUGGGGUCAUUAUGCCAAUAAUAAUAAACUCACAUGCAGGUUCAAUAUCAC
rnacentral:lncRNA from 1 species